rnacentral:rRNA from 1 species
UUAACCAGGUUGACCUCGGAUCAGGUAGGGAUACCCGCUGAACUUAAGCA